GGCGCUCCGCUCGGCCCAAGAUGGCGGCGUCCGUGUGCGGCCGGGGGCUACGGCCGCUGGUGCUGUCGUGGAGCCGGGAGCUGCCCUGCGCCUGGCGCGCCUUGCACAUCUCCGCGGUCUGCGCCAAGAAGAAGAGAGAAGAGCCUCGGGUGGGGUGUGGAAUUGAGCGUCCAGUGCUCGUGGAUGCGCCCUCUGGAGUUUUGACCAUCUCGCCACGGCGCCCUUCUCCCUGCAGGUAACCUGGACGGGGAGGACCAUGCUGCAGAGAGAACGGUGGAAGAUGUUUUCCUGCGCAAAUUUAUGCUGGGCACCUUCCCAGGCUGCCUGGCUGACCAGCUUGUUCUGAAGCGCCGGGCUAACCAGCUGGAGAUCUGUGCCCUGGUCCUGAGGCAGCUGCCCCCACACAAGUUCUACUUCCUUGUGGGCUACAGUGAGACUCUGCUGUCCCACUUUUACAAGUGUCCUGUGCAUCUGCACCUCCAGACUGUGCCCUCGAAAGUUGUGUAUAAGUAUAUCUAGGACGACGGCCCUUUUUGCAUCAAGCUCUAGCCUGCAGAAGAAAUCUGUGGAAAGGGACUGAAGUGAAACAGAGGAAAUUCAUCCCCUCGGGUUACUGAGGCUUUGUCUUCAAAGUUGCUGUUGAAUAAAUAGACUCUCCUUGUCUUGCUUCUCAGUCUGUUGAGAAAACAAGAAUCGGGUUUUUUAGCAUGCUCCAGGGUUCCCAGGAAGGCUGCUUGUUACUGAGAUUUGGGUAAUAGCUACAGUUGAAUGAGUAUCUUGAGCCAUUCACUAUGUCAGGAACUUUACCCGAGGUUCUUUGUUUUCUCUCAAAAUAAGAAAGGUCCGUUUUUGGAGAUUAUAAAGCAGUGUUAAUUUUAACAAGAUCAAAGCAAUAUAGGCAUAUUAGAUCAGCCAUGAAGCUUACUUGUCAUUCUGCCUCAGAACUUUGAACUUUAUUUUAGGUGUACUUUUUUUUUUUUUUUUUUGGUUUUUUUAGGGCUUUGCCCAUGACAUAUGGAAGUUCCCAGGCUAGGGGUCGAAUUGGAGCUGUAGCUGCCAGCCUACACCACUGCCACAGAAACAUGGGAUCCGAGCCGUGUCCUGUGACUACACCGCAGCUCACGGCAACACAGGCGCGAACCUGAAUCCUCAGGGAUACUAGUGGGGUUCGUUACUGCUGAGCCACGGCAGGGACUCCUAAACAAGCUUUUAACUGCACCUGCUCUGUGCCAGCCCCUUCUAAGCAGCUUGGAACCCAUCAGUGAUCAAAACAUCCCACUCCAAGACCCUGGCUUUCAAAACCCCUGUAUUCCCGGGGAGGGGCAGAGGGGUCAGACGGCACUGAAGAGUCCGUGAAGGCGAGGGAGGUGGCCGGGCAGCGUGUGGGAGGAGCGUUUCAGAAAGUGGCAUGUGCGAAAGCCGCCCGUGGUGCUGGGAGAUGGGGCGGGAUUGCUGACCUUCAGCUGCACCUGACUGAGGACCGUGAUCCUGAUACUCUUCACUUGACUCUGAGCCUUAACACUCGCUCUUACUCCUAACCCUUGAUUUUGCCUGAUGCUCCCCACAACCUUACCUGUACCUUCAGACUCACUCUUACCUGAGGGUGUCAGCCACGCCCUUCCUGGUCCUGCCUCUGACUCUGAUGCUAGCUUGGACUAGUUCGCCGGGACCUGGAUACUGAGUCCUCAAGUGUAACUAACCCUGCCUCCAUCGGAAACCGAAAACUUCAUCCUAAUGCUAUGCUGACCUUUAUCCUAACUUGUAACACUGAUGCUUUGACCAUGAAUGACCCUUACCCAAGCUCUUUUUUGCAGGGGCGGGGGGGGGGGGUCUUUUUAGGGCACACCCGUGACCUGGAAUUUCCCCGGUUAGGGGUCCAAUCGGGCCCGCAGCUGCCAGGCUAUGCUACAGCCACAGCAAUGCCAGGUCUGAGCUGUGCCCAUGACCUACACUGUAGCUCACGGUAAUGCCGGCCAUUUGACCCACUGAGCAAGGCCAGAGAUCAAAUGCUAAUCCUCAUGGAUACUGGUUGGGUUCUUAACCUGCCGAGCCACAGUGGGAACUCCCAGAACACUACUGUUUUUAAAAGUCGGAAGAAACAUGCAAACACUAGAGAAGCGGCCAUACCCGUGGCAUGCAGAAGUUUCUGGGCCAGGAUUCGAACAUGGCCACAGCAGAUACAAUGCCAGAUGCUUAACCUGCUGUGCCACCAGGGAACUCCUUAGUUCUAUUGUUUUAUUUUUUAAAAUAAGAUUUUUGGCACAGUGAAGUAAAUAAGUCAGGUAAUACAUAAUUUUAUGUUAAAUUAUUAAUGCACAUGUCUACUUAUGUUACUUAAGAGUUUUCUUGUUUUUUUUUUUUUUUUUUUUUUUUAAACUGGUGUGGCUCUGUCCUGGGUACACUCUGAAAUGCCUGUUACCAUAGAUGUCGUUUAGAAUUCAGACACUAGUGAGUCUACUUCACUUCAUGGCUGAACACAUUUAACAGGGCAGCUUAUAAAAUAAAAAUGAAAUGUGUAAUGA
rnacentral:lncRNA from 1 species